AGCGGUCUGCGCUUCCCGACAGGAAAACUUAUCCCCGGGGCCUUAUCGAUCUCUAAGGGAGCUGUCCCUGGUCUUGCCCGUGGGCUUGGCCAUACGGCGCCCACCUACUGUGUAGGUUCCCGGGAUCGACAUUCCAUCGGUCGUCGUGGAUCGCCA
rnacentral:other from 1 species